rnacentral:lncRNA from 13 species
UGCACUGGAGGCAGGUGAGUGCUGUCCUGCCUAGGACUCCAGUCUUUAAUCACCAUCCUCACCGCACAGGACCCUUCAGGAGGCAGUGAUGGUGCAGCCCACACCUGGAGGUCUCACAGAUUCUGGUGAUCGGCAGUGAAGCCCUUGAGUCUGAAUUUUGAGCAAACACCCAGGUUAAUGGCUGGCCGAAGAGUGAAGGCUGCACCUCCUCUGAUCUGGACACCAAACUGAUGCUCUUAUUUUCUUUGCCUGGAUCCUCUUCACCAAAAAUCGAAGGGCUGAUGGACCUCCUGAGUACUCAGCUAUUUCAUCUGCAAAAUAGGAAUAAAAUCUUCUUGCCUGAAGGUGGAAUCCUGGCUCUCUUGAAACGUAUUUCUUCUCUGAUAUAUAAAGCUGAAUGCUUUACUGCUUCAAGAUUCCUCCUAAGGAAAAAAAAUGCUUCUAUUAGCAAAGUUGUCAGACUUUGGCAAAGCCAGUGGCUGCGAAGUCAUAGUUGUGAAGACUUGUCUGCAGAAACAGUGAAGCUUUCAGCCUCAACUGCCACAUCCAUCCAUCAGAAAACAAACAAACAAACAAAAAAAACAGAAUUGAGGAGACACACAGCCCUGAGCUAUAGUCCUAUAGAAAAACUGAAUUAUGCAACAGCUGCAGUAACCCCAGACAUUGUUUUUGUCUUCUCUCUUUUUUAGAUAUAUACACUUGGCAAGAAAGUGUUUAUGUUUGGCAUUUCUUUUUCUCAGACGUUGGCCAAAGACCACAAUUACCUGGAAAGAAGGGUAGCUGUGCUCACCAGUAGGCAUUCGUGUAUGCUUCUAGCUGACCAGUGCCAGAACAAAUUUUUAUAGGUACACCGAGAGUAUUACAUUCCAGGGGUGUUUUCAUGCAACUUUUCUCAAAAAGUUGUCCUCUAGUUCCUCCCAGCACCUCAUAGGUUGCCACACAAGGUAGAUCAGCCUGACUGCUAAUUUGAAAAACUGGCAAUGCUUUGGUGGAAAAAACCUAGCUAGUCUCUUCCCAGAGUAACAUUUGAUGGGGAUUGAGUCAAAUGGGCUAUACGUUGACUCUGUUAAAUUUGUUUUAGGUAAGCCUUCUCUUAUUAUGGAGUCUCAAUGGGAUUUGUUUUUUAAUGUAGUUUUCUUGCAAAAUUAGGGCAUUUGGGGUUUCAAAUUAGGAAAUGUGGGGUUUUAGUUUUGAAUUGAUCAAAUGGCUUUACAUUCAGGAGGAAUCUCACUGCUAUGAAUGUCAAAGGCACCUAGAUAUUUUUUUUCAUCACUUCAUGUCUGCUGGAGACUAUGCUUAACAUUGAAAUAUCAUCAAUCAGAGACUGACUCCUACUUGGGACUGUGAAUUGUAAGAAUGUGAUAGAAUGGUACAGGGUCUGAAAAUCACUGUGAUAGCCAUCGGAGAGUCGCUAGUUCAGUGAUACUGAACUGUGUUUCUGCAAAUGGUGACUUGGCAGCAGAGGGACAAAUACAUAGUGCAGCAGUGCAGGGAACUGCCCAGAGAUAAUGGUACAAACACCAUGAAGGUACAAGUGGCCCUUCCUGGAGCCAGGUCUUGGCUAAACCCUUGCUCCUCUUGAUGCCUCUUUGAGUCUCCUUUCCAGAGUUACUGACUGUUAUUGGGAAUACAUUGCUACAUUUAUUUCCUACUUAAAUUUAAAAGAGAUCACAUUCUUUUUUUGCCACC